UCUGUUGGCGUUUCCCCUAUUGAUUAGGCUGAGUGGGCUAGUAAAUUGUUUAGAAUUUACUUUCAAACCAAUGCCUUUUAAAGUACAAUGACACACAUGACAACUGUUCAUACGAGCGAACGAUCGCCACUUCCAAGUGUUCUCACAGGCCGAGGCUGAUACCUGAGUACUGAACAAGACUGCGCAUGCGGGUUUGUGAGAUUGGCGGGGCGCACCAGCUGGCAUCCAGAGAACGAGACAAGACACAGGAGUCGAGAGAAAGGGGAGCGACACCACUCCACGUGCGUGCAUUUUACAGGACAAGAUUUCUUUGAGGUAGGUAAGGCCUAUGCACACUGGGCAGGAAUUGAGCCAGGAGACCAACUGGGAGGUGUGCCAGGUGUCUGAGUAGAAGCCUGGAAGCUGUUUUAAACAACAGAGUGAAGUGGGUCAUGCCACAUAAACAAACAGCUGUGAGAUGAGAGAUUAGGAAAAAUGGAAGACUCCAUUACAUCUUGACUUUUGAUGUGAAGAUGAUUGAGGGAGACAUAUUUGACAUCAUAAUUUGGAGACGGAAAUAAAGUCAUCAGGAUGGGAUUGGAAGAGAAG